rnacentral:rRNA from 1 species
UACGAGGGGGGCAAGUGUUGUUCGGAAUUACUGGGCGUAAAGGGAGCGUAGGCGGGCUCUUAAGUUGGAUGUUUAAAACCGGGGCCUAACCCCGGCGUGGCAUCCAAAACUGGGAGUCUUGAAUGGGACAGAGGCCAGUGGAAUUAGAGGUGUAGCGGUGGAAUGCGUAGAUAUCUCUAAGAACACCAGUUGCGAAGGCGGCUGGCUGGGUCCCCAUUGACGCUGAGGCUCGAAAGCUAGGGGAGCAAACAGG